rnacentral:lncRNA from 1 species
AUCACAUCUUAUAACAGUCACGUUUUCCCAGGGAUGACUUUCCAACACCGAGUCUAGAUACAUAAAAAUGCUUACCACCUGUGCACAACAAGGCUCCCUUAGUUCACUGCGACCUGAAGCCGGUCCUUCAGGUCUUUCCUCCUGCAGUUGUUUAGCCUUAGAUCCCUCCCUGGAGCAACUGGGGUGCAGACCCUUAUACCCCUUACUCAGCAGAGCCUGAGGUGGGACCUGCCCUCACACUUCCUGCCUCUCACAGCUCCUGUCGUCCUCACUUUUCUUGUUACUGUGACAAAAUGUGGGGCAGGAGAAGCUUCAGUAAGGAAGGGUUUGACUCGCUACACCACUCCAUCACAGUGGAGAAGGCAUGAAGGCAGGUGCUUAUGGCUGAUGCCUCUCACACAGAGGCAGAGCAGGAAGCAGAGAAAGAGGACCCCAAGCAGGACUAUGCUAUAACGCCAAAGGCCUACCCUUCUACCCCCAGCAGCCAUCCCAGCUAUUUGGAUCCACAACCACCCCAAUUGGGGACCAAGUACCAAAACACGUGAGCUGUCGGGAACCAGUUUGCCUGCUUCUGGGGAAGCCUGCCUACCAGACAGAGUCAAGGCAGGUCAGGGUCUGUUGGAGGAUCUCCUGGCCCGCUGAGGCAUGGAAGGAUAAGAGGGGAUACAUUUGAGGCUCAAGGCAAGGGGCUGGACGAUCUAUUGGCCUUGGUGGGAAGAACAGGGAGGCCUCUGGAUAAGAACAGAUGCCCUGUGUAUAUUUCAGCAAUUGUUUCUGCUGGCUUGUGGCCUCGCUUCUCAUGGUCCUGUGGGGUAUAAAAAGGCUGUGGAAAAAUAAACUCAAGGCUGCUGCAGUAUUUACUGUCAGCCCUCAAUUCUAACUCUUGUCUCUGUGUCUUUCCUAUAAACAUCCUCACUCCCCUCUCAGGGACUGCUCGAUGCAUGACAGUGGGCUCGGCACAGAAAACUGACGGGAGACGUUUCCCAUCUACAUCUUGAUGGUCCCUGGUUCUGCAUGGGUCUGUUCUCUCGGAAGGAAAUGGAAGCGUUAGUAUUUCUUCAGCUGUGUGGCGUCGUCUUUCCCAUGGCAUCUCAGACGUCCUACAGGCAGAAGCAAGGGUAACUCUCCCAUUUGUGCUGCUGCAUGCCUGUGUCCUCAGCACGAGGACGGCUGAAGCAGAAGGACUGAACGCUCCUUGGUCUCCACAGAGGACCUUGUCCCAGUGAGAGUCCAGCUUUGACAUUGAAAGAAGGGCUUGUUGUAGGGGUAUCCACCAGAGGAGACUGCUCAGCCGUAGGUUUAAGCCAAUAGAAACUCUUAAAUAGUCAGCUGAGCAUUACACGGGGUGUGUGUGUGUGUGUGUGUGUGUGUGUGUGUAUCCCAGUGUAGCACUUGACCUUUCUCAGGGUGAGCUUUUAAGCACUAAAACCAUGUCCCUAUUUGACACACUUCAGUUAAUGAGAACAGUUAGCCGGAAGCAGAACUACAGAAGCCAAAAAAGCAGUGUUAGUACAUUUAGAGACAUUCCCAGAACUAUGGACUUUGAUGGAUUAGAUAUUGGUUUUAGUUUGGGCAGGCGUGCUGUCUGUGUGCUGAGUUUUACAGCCUGAAUGGUAUUUCCAUCAUGGAAUCGGUUAUGCUAAGGUCUGGGGCCCCCGUUACAGACUUUAGGGAGUCAAUGACAAAACUCAGCUCUAUAGUAACCACAAUGGCUCUACAUGAAACCCGUUAGACUAAACCAAACUGGCAAAUAUGCCAAUCGUCCUGAAUUAAGGGUGAUGGCCAGGGUGGUUUGAAUGAAAGUGGCCCUCACAGGCUCAGGGAGUGGCACUGUUAGGAAGUAAGACCUUGUUGAAGUAGGUGUGGCCCUGUUGAAGUAGGUGUGGUCUUGUUGAAGUAGGUGUGGCCUUGUUGAAGUAGGUGUGGCCUUGUUGAAGUAGGUGUGGCCUUGUUGAAGUAGGUGUGGCCUUGUUGAAGUAGGUGUGGCCUUGUUGAAGUAGGUGUGACUUGUUGAAGUAGGUGUGGCCUUGUUGAAGUAGGCGUGGCCUUAUUGGAGAAAGUGUGUUGCUAUGGGGGUAGGGCUUGUGGUUUCAGAAGCUCAACCUAGGCCCAGUCUCACUCUUCUUUCCUGCUGCCCAAGGAUGGAGGAAUAGAACUUUCAGUCAGCUCUCUCUCCAGUGCCAUGUCUGCCUGCACUCUGCCAUGUUUCCCACCACGACAACAAUGUACUAAACCUCUGAACUGUAAGCCAGCCUCCAAUUAAAUGUUUUUCUUCGUAAGAGUUACUGUGGUCAUGGUGUCACUUCACAGCAGUAGACAUUCUAACUAAGACAAUGGCAUUUUCUUUGAUGUCAGAGGUCAGAGAAGGAAAAAAAAUUUUAAGUUGUCAGUCUUUUGCAGUGUGAGUGUAUAUGUGCAUUCGUAUGUAUGUGUGCAUGCAUAUUUGUGUGUGUAUGUGUGUGUGCAUAUGUGCAUGCAUGUGUGUUUGUGUGAGUGCAUUCGUAUGUAUGUGUGUGUGCGCAUGCAUGUGUGUUUGUGUGAGUGCAUUUGUAUGUAUGUGCAUGUGUGCAUGCAUGUUUCUAAGUGAUUCAUUCCCUUAAGGUCAGCAUGGACAGCUCUCCAGUGGAGUUUAGAUGGCUGGGUGGAGCUCCUCCAGCUACCAGGGGAGCUUUGCAGGGACAUUUUCACAAUGUCCCAGAGAGAAUGGUAUUCAGGGUUAUAAUGUACCCUCUGCCACACAGAGACUGUCAAGAACAGCUCCAGGCAUCUGAAGGCAACAUCACAGCCCUUUGAGACCCCUUGUUGCAGCUCUUCUUGCCUCACAGAGCAUACUUUAG